ACCAUAGAGAGGAAAUUUAGGAUAAAAAAGUUGGAUGUCAUGGUAAUUAGUCUUCGAACACUUCAUUCACUCCUAAAAGAUUCAAACUCCUCUAAAAUCCAUGUUAGUACAUCCGAAUUGGCAAUCUCUCACUAAUUAUGAUUUACACCAAUAAAAAUUCCUAUGAACCAAAAUAUAUAUAUAUAUAUUGGAGGUUGUU
rnacentral:lncRNA from 1 species